CGGUACUCUGUGAGCUGCCCAUAGGGGAAGGCUCCAGGCUGACAUCCGGAGACCUCUCAGAGCACAGCAGCAAGUACAUGCGCCCUAUGGCAAAGAUCUCAAAAUUAGAACAAAGAUUGGACUAGGAUUUGAAUUGCAAUUUUGAACCUGUCCAGCGUUCUAUUUUCUAGAACACAAAGCUAAUUGAGAAAUGCCCAAAUGUCUGAAUCUGAGCUGUAAUAAGGCACUGCUCUGAGACCAACACAAAGAACAGGACUCUCCGAAGUCACAGAAACCCUAGCCGGGGUUCCGAGAGAAUCCAGCAUUGGACUCUGGCUCCAGCCUGCCCGGCAGGUAGCAAGAGCAGCUGGCGUCUGCUUCGUACGUCAGAGCUUUUCUCCAGUCACACACCAAUACUGCAUGGUGGAGAGAAAAGGCCACUGUAGAGUGUGUGGCCCACACCUUUAAUUACUAGCAGUGCUGUUUCCAAGUGUCACCACCAGGGGCGCUACAUGUGCUAUUCGUGGAGUGAUGGUUGUGAGACAAUGUGGGCCCAUUCUAAGUUCACACAGGAAACAGGAAGAGACCCAGCCUGAGAGGCUUUGGAACUUUAGAGGACAAAGAGGAAAGAGAAGAAGGGACAAGUGUUCCAGAAGAGCCCCACCUCGACGACAGAGCCUUCAGGGCCACACAGCAUGGGACCCAAGGAGUCACUGGAUGUGGUACUCAGAAGGAUCGCCAGGGACCUUGGCCUGAGCAGCUCCAAGACACGUGGCAAGUUCAAGGAUUGCAAGGCUGACCAAGGAGGAGGCAGGACACGAGGGGGCACAGGGCAGAGCGAGCUCUCUGGGGUGGCGCUGAGAAGGUCACAGGAGAGGGGAGGCCCCUCACAGCAGGAGACGCUCCAGAAACAGAGCUUUGAAGUGACGGGAGAGGCUGGCUCCAACAUCUCGGCCUCAAAGGGACACUCAUCACCUCCUUCCACCAAAGCAGCGCCCAGCGCUGGAGAGAACUGCUGGCCAAUGGAUACCAUGAGACGGCCCCGAGAAUAAGAAAACAAGGGGACAGACAGCCCUGUGCAACUCUUCCAUCGACGCCAGCACGGGUGGAUCUGGGAGUGACACCUUUGCCACCAACCGAAAAGCUCCCAACCCUGAGCCAGACCCUGAGCCAAACUGUCCCGAGCCACAGGUGUUAAUCCGAAAGGGCUGGUCCACUGGGAGGGUGGGGGUGAAGAACGGCCACUGGGGUCACUGGGCUUUGUGGGGGGGAGGGGCCUGGGCUCGUGAUGGCCAAUCCUGCUGCCCCGAGGGCCAGUCCACCUGUGGAGGGAGGGCCAGGGUCUCCAAACAUCCCACUCGCCCCUCAGGGUGCGCCAGCCUGGCUGAGAUCAGCCAAGCCGUUCCAUCAGAACCCUUGAAAGUGGGGCCCAGGUGUGGGCAUUUGCACACUGGGUGAUCCUGACGUGCAGCGCUGAGAACCCCGGACGGAGCUGUCCCACCG